rnacentral:rRNA from 1 species
UGGCAUUCGAGUGGCGGACGGGUGAGUAACGCGUGGGUAACCUGCCUUACACAGGGGGAUAACACCUGGAAACAGGUGCUAAUACCGCAUAAGCGCACAGGGCCGCAUGGCCCGGUGUGAAAAACUCCGGUGGUGUAAGAUGGACCCGCGUCUGAUUAGCUUGUUGGCGGGGUAACGGCCCACCGUGGCGACGAUGCGUAGGGGUUCUGAGAGGAAGGCCCCCCACACUGGAACUGAGACACGGUCCAGACUCCUACGGAAGGCAGCAG